UACGUAGGGUGCAAGCGUUAAUCGGAAUUACUGGGCGUAAAGGGUGCGCAGGCGGUUAUAUAAGACAGAUGUGAAAUCCCCGGGCUCAACCUGGGAACUGCGUUUGUGACUGCAUAGCUAGAGUACGGUAGAGGGGGAUGGAAUUCCGCGUGUAGCAGUGAAAUGCGUAGAUAUGCGGAGGAACACCGAUGGCGAAGGCAAUCCCCUGGACCUGUACUGACGCUCAUGCACGAAAGCGUGGGGAGCAAACAGG
rnacentral:rRNA from 1 species